rnacentral:rRNA from 1 species
GAUGAACGCUGGCGGCGUGCCUAAUACAUGCAAGUCGAGCGAACGGACGAGAAGCUUGCUUUUCUGAUGUUAGCGGCGGACGGGUGAGUAACACGUGGAUAACCUACCUAUAAGACUGGGAUAACUUCGGGAAACCGGAGCUAAUACCGGAUAAUAUUUUGAACCGCAUGGUUCAAAAGUGAAAGACGGUCUUGCUGUCACUUAUAGAUGGAUCCGCGCUGCAUUAGCUAGUUGGUAAGGUAACGGCUUACCAAGGCAACGAUGCAUAGCCGACCUGAGAGGGUGAUCGGCCACACUGGAACUGAGCCACGGUCCAGACUCCUACGGGAGGCAGCAGUAGGGAAUCUUCCGCAAUGGGCGAAAGCCUGACGGAGCAACGCCGCGUGAGUGAUGUAGGUCUUCGGAUCGUAAAACUCUGUUAUUAGGGAAGAACAUAUGUGUAAGUAACUGUGCACAUCUUGACGGUACCUAAUCAGAAAGCCACGGCUAACUACGUGCCAGCAGCCGCGGUAAUACGUAGGUGGCAAGCGUUAUCCGGAAUUAUUGGGCGUAAAGCGCGCGUAGGCGGUUUUUUAAGUCUGAUGUGAAAGCCCACGGCUCAACCGUGGAGGGUCAUUGGAAACUGGAAAACUUGAGUGCAGAAGAGGAAAGUGGAAUUCCAUGUGUAGCGGUGAAAUGCGCAGAGAUGUGGAGGAACACCAGUGGCGAAGGCGACUUUCUGGUCUGUAACUGACGCUGAUGUGCGAAAGCGUGGGGAUCAAACAGGAUUAGAUACCCUGGUAGUCCACGCCGUAAACGAUGAGUGCUAAGUGUUAGGGGGUUUCCGCCCCUUAGUGCUGCAGCUAACGCAUUAAGCACUCCGCCUGGGGAGUACGACCGCAAGGUUGAAACUCAAAGGAAUUGACGGGGGCCCGCACAAGCGGUGGAGCAUGUGGUUUAAUUCGAAGCAACGCGAAGAACCUUACCAAAUCUUGACAUCCUUUGACAACUCUAGAGAUAGAGCCUUCCCCUUCGGGGGACAAAGUGACAGGUGGUGCAUGGUUGUCGUCAGCUCGUGUCGUGAGAUGUUGGGUUAAGUCCCGCAACGAGCGCAACCCUUAAGCUUAGUUGCCAUCAUUAAGUUGGGCACUCUAAGUUGACUGCCGGUGACAAACCGGAGGAAGGUGGGGAUGACGUCAAAUCAUCAUGCCCCUUAUGAUUUGGGCUACACACGUGCUACAAUGGACAAUACAAAGGGCAGCGAAACCGCGAGGUCAAGCAAAUCCCAUAAAGUUGUUCUCAGUUCGGAUUGUAGUCUGCAACUCGACUACAUGAAGCUGGAAUCGCUAGUAAUCGUAGAUCAGCAUGCUACGGUGAAUACGUUCCCGGGUCU